UAGGGAAUAUUGGACAAUGGGGGCAACCCUGAUCCAGCCAUGCCGCGUGAGUGAAGAAGGCCCUCGGGUUGUAAAGCUCUUUUGUCCGGAAAGAAAAGCUUCGGGUUAAUACCCCGGGGUUCUGACGGUACCGGAAGAAUAAGCACCGGCUAACUUCGUGCCAGCAGCCGCGGUAAUACGAAGGGUGCAAGCGUUAAUCGGAAUUACUGGGCGUAAAGGGUGCGUAGGCGGUUAUUUAAGUCUGCCGUGAAAUCCCCGGGCUCAACCUGGGAAUGGCGGUGGAUACUGGAUAGCUAGAGUGUGUCAGAGGAUGGUGGAAUUCCCGGUGUAGCGGUGAAAUGCGUAGAGAUCGGGAGGAACAUCAGUGGCGAAGGCGGCCAUCUGGGACAACACUGACGCUGAAGCACGAAAGCGUGGGGAGCAAACA
rnacentral:rRNA from 1 species